CAACCCUCAAGCCUUGCUUGGUGUUGGGGCACUAUUUUUGUAUAGGCCCUGUAACAUAGUGGCGGAUCUGCUGUUAUCCUGAGCGUAGUAAUAUACGUCGCUUUGGGCUUCCAGUGGGCUUCUGCCGUUAAACCCCCACAUUUUUAA
rnacentral:misc_RNA from 1 species